GACGAACGCUGGCGGCGUGCUUAACACAUGCAAGUCGAACGGAAAGGCCCUGCUUUUGUGGGGUGCUCGAGUGGCGAACGGGUGAGUAACACGUGAGUAACCUGCCCUUGACUUUGGGAUAACUUCAGGAAACUGGGGCUAAUACCGGAUAGGAGCUCCUGCUGCAUGGUGGGGGUUGGAAAGUUUCGGCGGUUGGGGAUGGACUCGCGGCUUAUCAGCUUGUUGGUGGGGUAGUGGCUUACCAAGGCUUUGACGGGUAGCCGGCCUGAGAGGGUGACCGGCCACAUUGGGACUGAGAUACGGCCCAGACUGCUAAGGGAGGCAGCAGUGGGGAAUAUUGCACAAUGGGCGGAAGCCAGAUGCAGCAACGCCGCGUGCGGGAUGACGGCCUUCGGGUUGUAAACCGCUUUCGCCUGUGACGAAGCGUGAGUGACGGUAAUGGGUAAAGAAGCACCGGCUAACUACGUG
rnacentral:rRNA from 1 species